UAAAAUUAAAACUUAAUUUUUAUCUCAUGUCAUAGGGUGGGGCAGAAAACAAUAUCACGUCUAUGUACAAACAAAAAUUGUUGAAAUGACAAAAGAUAACCAAACAUCAAACCAGAAGUGUCAUCCAGUUAAGAACCACCCCACGAUCAGACAUCUGGAAAUUGAAGAGUAUAUCUAUAAGCACGGGAAACUCUAGGUAGAAGAGAAAAUGUAUAGAAAUAAAAAUACUAUUAUGUACUCCCUUUGCCACCCUCGAUUAACACAAUAUCAAUGACUCAUCAAAGAUCUGUCCGCGUCCAAAAACCAGACCAAGAUAGCCCCCACAUUAAGCUCCUACAGUGAUGGAAUCAAAACCUAUUUUGUAUCUCCUGUCACAGGGUAGGCCCAAAACAAUAUCCAAGUCUAUAUAACAACAAAAGAAUAUAAUAGAGAGAUCAAAUGCAACCAAUUAUGAACCCAGAACUGCCUUCCAGUUAAGCUUGAUUAAGAACCAAACAACGAUCAGGCAUCUGGAAAUCGAAGAGAAUAACAAUAAGCACGGGAAAGUCAAGAUGGAAGAUAAAUUGUAGCAGAAUUAAUACAAUACUAUACUCCCUCUGACACCCUCGAUAAACAUUAUAUCAGUGACAGCAUCAAAAGUUGAUGUCUCCAGUAACUAGACCAAGAUUAGCCCCACCAUAAGCUGCUUCUUUCACAACUUAAUUUUUAACUCCUGUCACAAGGUGAGGCAGAAAACAAUAUCCACGUCUACGUAACAAAUAAAAGAUUGUUGAAACUGACAAAAGAUAACCAAGCAUACCAGAAGUGCCUUCCAGUUAAGAACCACACAACAAUCAGACAUCUGGAAAUUGAAGAGUAUAACUAUUAGCACGGGAAACUCUAGGUAGAAGAGAAAAUGUAGGUAGAAAAAAAAUACUAUUAGUACUCCCUUUACCACCCACUAUUAACACUAUAUCAAUGACAGCAUGAAGGAUUUGUCAGUGUCCAAAAACCAGACCAAGACAGCCCCCACCUUAAGCUCCUACUUGAUAGAAUCAGAACCUAUUUUGUAUCUCCUAUCACAGGGUGAGGCUGAAACCAACAUCCGAGUCUAAAUAACAACAAAAGAACUACAAUAGAGAGAGCAAAGGUAACCAACUAUCAAACCCGAACUGCCGUCCAGUUAAGCUUGAUUAAGAACCACACAACGAUCGGGCAUCUGGAAAUGAAGAGAAUAACGAUAAGCACCGGAAGGUCUAGAUGGAAGAUAAAUUGUAUAGAAGAAAUACUAUACUAUACUCCCUCUGCCACCCUCGAUAAACACACUAUAUAGUGACCACGUCAAAGGAUUGACUUGUGUGCAAUAACUUGACUAAGAUUAGCCCUACCUUAAGCUCCUACUUGAUAAAAUUAAAACUUAAUUUUUAUCUCAUGUCAUAGGGUGGGGCAGAAAACAAUAUCCACGUCUAUGUAGCAAACAAAAUUGUUGAACUGACAAAAGAUAACCAAACAUCAAACAGAAGUGUCUCCAGUUAAGAACCACCCCACGAUCAGACAUCUGGAAAUUGAAGAGUAUAUCUAUAAGCACGGGAAACUCGAGGUAGAAGAGAAAAUGUAGUAGAAUAAAAAUACUAUUAUGUACUCCCUUUGCCACCCUCGAUUAACACAAUAUCAAUGACUACAUCAAAGAUCUGUCGCGUCCAAAAACCAGACCAAGAUAGCCCCCACAUUAAGCUCCUACAGUGAUGGAAUCAAAACCUAUUUUGUAUCUCCUGUCACAGGGUAGGCUCAAAACAAUAUCCAAGUCUAUAUAACAACAAAAGAAAUAUAAUAGAGAGAUCAAAUGCAACCAAUUAUGAACCCAGAACUGCCUUCCAGUUAAGCUUGAUUAAGAACCAAACAACGAUCAGGCAUCUGGAAAUCGAAGAGAAUAACAAUAAGCACGGGAAAGUCAAGAUGGAAGAUAAAUUGUAGCAGAAUUAAUACAAUACUAUACUCCCUCUGACACCCUCGAUAAACAUUAUAUCAGUGACAGCAUCAAAAGUUGAUAGUCUCCAUAACUAGACCAAGAUUAGCCCCACCAUAAGUGCUUCUUUCACAACUUAAUUUUUAACCCCUGUCACAAGGUGAGGCAGAAAACAAUAUCCACGUCUACGUAACAAAUAAAAGAUUGUUGAAACUGACAAAAGAUAACCAAGCAUACCAGAAGUGCCUUCCAGUUAAGAACCACACAACAUCAGACAUCUGGAAAUUGAAGAGUAUAUCUAUAGCACGGGAAAUUCUAGGUAGAAGAGAAAAUGUAGUAGAAAAAAAAUACUAUUAUGUACUCCCUUUCCACCCCGAUUAAACAUAUCAAUGACCAUAAGAUUGUCGGUCCAAAAACCAGACCAAGACAGCCCCCACCUUAAGCUCCUACUUUGAUAGAAUCAGAACCUAUUUUGUAUCUCCUAUCACAGGGUGAGGCUGAAACCAACAUCGAGUCUAAAUAACAACAAAAGAACUACAAUAGAGAAAGCAAAGGUAACCAACUAUCAAACCCGAACUGCCGUCCAGUUAAGCUUGAUUAAGAACCACACAACGAUCGGGCAUCUGGAAAUGGAAGAGAAUAACGAUAAGCACCGGAAGGUCUAGAUGGAAGAUAAAUUGUAUUAGAAGAAAUACUAUCUAUACUCCCUCUGCCACCCUCGAUAAACACACUAUAUCAGUGACCACGUCAAAGGAUUGACUUGUGUGCAAUAACUUGACUAAGAUUAGCCCUACUUAAGCUCCUACUUUGAUAAAAUUAAAACUUAAUUUUUAUCUCAUGUCAUAGGGUGGGGCAGAAAACAAUAUCCACGUCUAUGUACAAACAAAAUUGUUGAAAUGACAAAAGAUAACCAAACAUCAAACCAGAAGUGUCUCCAGUUAAGAACCACCCAGAUCAGACAUACUGGAAAUUGAAGGUAUAUCUAUAAGACACGGAAAUUGGUAGAAGAGAAAAUUAAGUAGAAUAAAAACUAUUAUGUACUCCCUUUGCCACCCUCGAUUAACACAAUAUCAAUGACUCAUCAAAGAUCUGUCCGCGUACCAAAAACCAGACCAAGAUACCCCACAUUAAGCUCCUACAGUGAUGGAAUCAAAACCUAUUUUGUAUCUCCUGUCACAGGGUAGGCCCAAAACAAUAUCCAAGUCUAUAUAACAACAAAAGAUAUAUAAUAGAGAGAUCAAAUGCAACCAAUUAUGAACCCAGAACUGCCUUCCAGUUAAGCUUGAUUAAGAACCAAACAACGAUCAGGCAUCUGGAAAUCGAAGAGAAUAACAAUAAGCACGGGAAAGUCAAGAUGGAAGAUAAAUUAUAGCAGAAUUAAUACAAUACUAUACUCCCUCUGACACCCUCGAUAAACAUUAUAUCAGUGACAGCAUCAAAAGUUGAUAGUCUCCAUAACUAGACCAAGAUUAGCCCCACCAUAAGUGCUUCUUUCACAACUUAAUUUUUAACCCCUGUCACAAGGUGAGGCAGAAAACAAUAUCCACGUCUACGUAACAAAUAAAAGAUUGUUGAAACUGACAAAAGAUAACCAAGCAUACCAGAAGUGCCUUCCAGUUAAGAACCACCCCACAUCAGACAUCUGGAAAUUGAAGAGUAAAAUUAUAAGCACGGGAAACUCUAGCUAGAAGAGAAAAUGUAGUAGGAAAAAAUAACUAUUAUGUACUCCCUUUGCAACCCUCGAUUAACAACAUAUUAAUUGACAAUAUCAAAGAUUUUUCCGUGUCCAAAAACCAGACCAAGAUAGCCCCCACAUUAAGCUCCUAUUGCGAUGGUAUCAAAACCUAUUUUGUAUCUCCUGUCAUAGGGUGAGGGCCAAAUCAAUAUCCAAGUCUACAUAACAACAAAAUAACUAUAAUAGAAAGAGCAAGGGUAACCAAUUAUCAAACCAGAACUGCCUUCCAUUUAAGCUUGAUUAAAAACCACACAACAAUCAAGCAUCUGGAAAUUGAAGAGAAUAAAGAUAAGUAUGAGAAAGUCUAGGUGGAAGAUAAAUUUUAGUAGAAAAAAUUACUAUAAAAUACUCCCUCUGCUACCCUGGAUAAAACCUAUAUCAGAGACAGCGUGAAAGGUUUGAUCUGUGUCCAAUAACUUGACCAAGAUUAGCCCCACCUUAUGCUCCCUACUUUGAUAAAAUCAAAACUUAAAUUUUAUCUCCUGCCAUAGGAUGAGGAGAAAACAAUAUCCACGUCUACGUAGCAAACAAAAAACUGAUGAAAAAGAGAACCAAGCAUCAAACCAGAAGUGUCUUCAAGUUAAGAACCACACAACGACCAGACACCUGGGAUUGAAGAGUAUAACGAUGGAGAGUAUAACGAUAAGAACCAGAAACUCUGGGUAGAAUAGAAUAUGUAGAAGAUAAAAUACUAUUCUGUUCUCCAUCUGCCUCCCUCAAUAAACACUAUAUCAAUGCCGGCAUCAUAGAUUAGUCCAUGUCCAAAAACCCAACCAAGAUAGCCCCAACUUAGAGCUCCUACUUUGAUAGAAUUAAAACCUAUUUUGUAUCUCCUGUAACAGGGUGAGGCCCAAAACAAUAUCCAAGUCAACAUAACAACACAAAAACUACAUUUACAGAGCAAACGUAACCAAUUAUCAAACCAGCCUUCCCGUGAAGCUUGAUUAAGAACCACACAGAGAUCAGGCAUCUGCAAAUUGAUGAGAACAACAGUAAGCACGCGAUAGUCUAGGGAGAAGAUAAAAUGUUGUAAAAAAAAAUACUAUUCGAUACUCCCUCUGCCACACUCGAUAUUAACAGCGUCAAAGGUUUAUCUUCCGAUAACCAGAUUAGCCCCACCUUAAGCUCCUUCUUUUAAUACUUAAUUUUUAUCUCCUGUCAUAGGGUGAGGCAGAAAACAAUAUCCACGUCUACGUAACAAACAAAAAAUUGUUGAAACUGACAAAAGAUAACCAAGCAUCAAACCAGAAGUGCCUUCCAGUUAAGAACCACUGAACCACACAACGAAUCAUCAGACAUCUGGAGAUUGAAGAGUAUAACUAUAAGCACGGGAAACUUUAGGUAGAAGAGAAAAUGUAGUAGAAAAAAAAUACUACUCCAUGUACUCUUCCUAUUGCCACCCUUGAUUAACAAUAUACCAAUGACAGCAUCAAAGAUUUUUCCGUGCCAAAAACCAGACCAAGAUAGCCCCCACAUUAAGCUCCUAUUGUGAUAGAAUCAAAACCUAUUUUGUAUCUCCUGUCACAGAGUGAGGCCCAAAACAAUAUCGAGUCUACAUAACAACAAAAGAACUAAAAUAAAGAGAGCAAAGGUAACCAAUUAUCAAACCAGAACAGCCUUCCAGUGAAGCUAGAUUAAGAAGCUCAGAGCGAUCAAGCAUCUGAAAAUUGAUGAGAACGGUAAGCAAGGGCAAGUCUAGGUAGAGGAUAAAAUGUUGUAAAAAAAUUACUAUACUAUACUUCCUCUGCAACCCUUGAUAAAAACACAAUAUCAAUUUGUCAGCGUCAAAUGUUGGUCCGUGGCCAACAACCAGACCAAGAUUAGCACCACCAUAAGUUCCUAAUUUGAUAGAAUCAAAACAUAAUUUUUAUCUCCUGUCAUAGGGUGAGGCAGAAAACAUAAAUUCAUCAUGAUGAUCUUGAGGCUCCUCACCAGCGAUUAAUCUGUGGCCAGAGAAGAGAACAAUUGAGUAAAUUCAUAACUAUCAGCGUUUCCACCAACUGCCGAUAACCAUCAAACUAUCAGCGCGAAAGGAAAAGGACAAAAUAAACCUUCUGGCUUGAGAGAUCACGAGCUAUCCAAUCGGUUGCCCUACAGAUACAAACGAAAGUAAGCCCCGAUAACCAAUACGGCAGAGGAAAUCAUGAUCUAAAUAGACCGUCAAAACUUGAACUAUAAAAUCUGCACUCGUUGCGAAUAACUGAAUAUUAACCCAAAUCAGCAGAAGGAAUCACAAUAACCGAUCUACACAAAUCAAAUACGUCAAAGUAGAUUGAACAGAAAUCCUCCGCUAGGUCAUCUAUCCUCGCCGCCAUAUGUCAUACCAGACAGGGAAGGCUAAUGGAAAUCGCAACACAAGGAGAGAGUAACCCGAUCGAAAACACAAAACUUAAUCGCCAACGAAAUCGCACCACAAAACACAAUAACCCUAGAUAUGAAUUCAGGAGAAGAGGGCCACAAUAGAAGAAAAAUAAUAGCGAAACACGCAAAGAGGGGGGAUGGGUAGGAGAAUGUGGGGAGAUAUGGUAUAUA
rnacentral:lncRNA from 1 species